CCUACGGGUGGCUGCAGUGGGGAAUAUUGGACAAUGGGCGAAAGCCUGAUCCAGCCAUGCCGCGUGUGUGAAGAAGGCCUUCGGGUUGUAAAGCACUUUCAGUGGGGAAGAAAGCCUUGGGGCUAAUACCCUCGAGGAAGGACAUCACCCACAGAAGAAGCACCGGCUAACUCCGUGCCAGCAGCCGCGGUAAUACGGAGGGUGCGAGCGUUAAUCGGAAUUACUGGGCGUAAAGCGCGCGUAGGCGGUCUGAUAAGCCGGUUGUGAAAGCCCCGGGCUCAACCUGGGAACGGCAUCCGGAACUGUCAGGCUAGAGUGCAGGAGAGGAAGGUAGAAUUCCCGGUGUAGCGGUGAAAUGCGUAGAGAUCGGGAGGAAUACCAGUGGCGAAGGCGGCCUUAUGGACUGACACUGACGCUGAGGUGCGAAAGCGUGGGUAGCAAACAGGAUUAGAUACCCGUGUAGUC
rnacentral:rRNA from 1 species